UACAGAGGGGGCAAGCGUUAUUCGGAAUUAUUGGGCGUAAAGGGCGCGUAGGCGGCCUGGCAAGUGGAAGGUGAAAUCCCUCGGCUUAACCGAGGAACUGCCCUCCAAACUGCUUGGCUUGAGUCCGGGAGAGGUGAGUGGAAUUCCCAGUGUAGCGGUGAAAUGCGUAGAUAUUGGAGGAACACCAGUGGCGAAGGCGGCUCACUGGUCCGGUACUGACGCUGAGGACGCGAAAGCGUGGGGAGCAGCAGGAG
rnacentral:rRNA from 1 species